UCUCUCCUUGGUGUAGUUGGUUCAUCACGUUCGACUGCAAUUGCUUCAAAUUGUCAUGGAAAGGUCCCUAGUUCGAUUCUGGGAGGGAGAA